rnacentral:rRNA from 1 species
GAUCAUGGCUCAGGAUGAACGCUAGCGACAGGCUUAACACAUGCAAGUCGAGGGGGCAGCACAGGUAGCAAUACCGGGUGGCGACCGGCGCACGGGUGAGUAACGCGUAUGCAACUUACCUAUCAGAGGGGGAUAACCCGGCGAAAGUCGGACUAAUACCGCAUGAAGCAGGGGCCCCGCAUGGGGAUAUUUGCUAAAGAUUCAUCGCUGAUAGAUAGGCAUGCGUUCA